rnacentral:lncRNA from 10 species
CUCAAGGUCCGCUACCGCUGGCGGCGCGCGCGCGCGCGCCACAGACGCUCAGCGGGCCAAUCGGAAAAGAGGACAAGCCUCCUCACCCCGCCCCUCGCAGUCUUACACGCAGCGGCGCCCCAGGUUCCCUCCCCCACCCCUUCCUUCAGCCAAUCAGGAAACGGCUAAAAGGGGAGCGCGCGAGGUUUCCUUCCCCGCGCACCCGUUCUCACCGUUAAACGGCUGUGUCUCGCGACAAUCCCAAAGUGACCUUUUUCCCCCCUCCAGACUUCAACGCGCGCUAGGGGCAGUGCGAGGGGCAGGUCUCGCGAGGGAGGCGGGUGAGAAGAAAUCGCACCUCUUUCCCCGCCUCACGCAAACCCUAGACUGGCUGCGCGCGCACCUGCCUCCCUGAGGAGCCACUGAUACCACAAGGGCUCUUUCUAUUCUUCUUUAGGCCGCAGAAGUAGCCUGGGCGUUCUUCCGCCUCCACCCUACCCCACUUUCCUGUCUUUGGCCUUUCUGUCCCCAGCGCCGCCAGAUCUUGCGCGGAGAAGGGGGUAGUAUUUUGAGCUGUCGCUUCUCCUUUAAGAAAAAAAGCCCCGUCGGUUGCCGGAUGAAAGUCUCUGAAAAAAUGGCGGCG